rnacentral:rRNA from 1 species
GAUCAUGGCUCAGGAUGAACGCUAGCUACAGGCUAACACAUGCAAGUCGAGGGGUAACAUGAUAGAAGCUUGCUUUAUUGAUGACGACCGGCGCACGGGUGAGUAACGCGUAUCCAACCUUCCCUAUACUAGAGGAUAGCCCGGCGAAAGUCGGAUUAAUACUCUAUGUUGUUCGAUGCGGACAUCUAAAUUGAACCAAAGGUUUACCGGUAUAGGAUGGGGAUGCGUCUGAUUAGGUUGUUGGCGGGGUAACGGCCCACCAAGCCAGCGAUCAGUAGGGGUUCUGAGAGGAAGGUCCCCCACAUUGGUACUGAGACACGGACCAAACUCCUACGGGAGGCAGCAGUGAGGAAUAUUGGUCAAUGGGCGAGAGCCUGAACCAGCCAAGUUAAGCGUGCAGGAUGACGGCCCUAUGGGUUGUAAACUGCUUUUGCCGGGGAAUAAAGUGCAGUACGUGUACUGUUUUGUAUGUACCCGGAGAAUAAGGACCGGCUAAUUCCGUGCCAGCCGCCGC